rnacentral:tRNA from 1 species
UGUUCUACGGCUCAGUUGGUGAAAGCGCUGGACUAGCGAUACGAAGUCGUGGGUUCGAAUCCCACCAAAACAA